rnacentral:rRNA from 1 species
CAGCAGCCGCGGGAAUACGUAGGUCCCGAGCGUUGUCCGGAUUUAUUGGGCGUAAAGCGAGCGCAGGCGGUUAGAUAAGUCUGAAGUUAAAGGCUGUGGCUUAACCAUAGUAUGCUUUGGAAACUGUUUAACUUGAGUGUAGAAGGGGAGAGUGGAAUUCCAUGUGUAGCGGUGAAAUGCGUAGAUAUAUGGAGGAACACCGGUGGCGAAAGCGGCUCUCUGGUCUGUAACUGACGCUGAGGCUCGAAAGCGUGGGGAGCAAACAGGAUUAGAUACCCCCGUAGUCCCUGUCUCUUAUACA